AAACGAACAAAGUAAUAAAUAGAUCUGGUUUGCUCUCAGGAGCACUGAUGUCUUCAUAUUUCUAAGACUUCGUUUGAAAUUAUGGAAAGAUUGCAUUACGUGCGGUCAGAAAGUACGUUAAAAAAAAUAUCAUGUUUGCUACGUAAUAUUGCGUUCCGCAUAUUACGAUUAGUCAGUUACGACAUAUUUUCUGCCGUCCCACCGGAGAAUGCAGAAGCAUAUCCCUAUUUGCUUUUUCCUCAACUCCAUUUUAUCUAAUAGUAUUAGAUAGGUCUCAAUACCAAACUAAACCUAAACCGUUUUUUAUGAUGGGACUGCGGAAUCAACAAUCGGUUUCGUUAGAAUUGAUCUAGCAUAUUUAAAGUAUUUAGAGAAUAAAUUUUAUGAUUUUUCGAUAUCAUUUACCUACCGAUCAAAGAGUUUAAAAUCAAUAAUUUUUAAUAAUUGAUGUAUAUUAUUUACAAGUUUAACAGUGUAAAAAUAUUCAAAUCAGAUGAAAUUUUGAUAAAAAAUUUUUGUACUAUUAAUUAUAAGUGUACUACGAAUUAUAAGUGUACUACGAAAAUUAAAUUAAAAUUUACAGAUUAAUCUGAACUAUAAAUCAUUCCAAAUCGGCUAUUCAAUCUUUCAGAAUUUUAGUUGUGCCAGCCAAAUUUUCAACUUGUUUGAUUUAAGUCGGUAAUCGAUACUUUGACUUUAAAUAUAAUAUAAUUACUAAUUUUAAUAAAUUUAUAGUUCUAAAAAUUGCAUGAAAUAUGUUCAAUAAAUCUGUAAAGAAAAAUAAUAUAUUUAAUUUUUAAAGUCAAAGUAUCAAACAAAUUAAAAGGAUAGAUAGUAUAUCAAAGGUAAAAUUAAAAUUUUGAAAAAUUGAAUAGUUAAUUUAAAAUGAUUUAUAGUUCAAAUAAGUUUUGUAAAGUUUUACCCAAUUAAUAAAUUGUUGUACAAAAACAAAUUAAAAUAUCUUAACAUUGUAAUGUUCAUAAUUAAACCCUCAAAAUUCAUUAGCUCUUAGGGCGUGUUUGAUUUGCUUCUUUUUUAUCCUGAAAUCGGAAUCGGCAUGGAUAAGUCUGUUUGUAGAUGUUUGGUACGCGGGAGCCCCAUUCCGAUUCCAAUUCCCGAAUGGAUUGAGAAUCCCUCAAUCACCUCUUUUUUCAAUCAGGCCUAGGAGGCCGGAUUGAAAGUUGAAUGCGGACGGAAUGAUAUUUACUCGGAUUAAAUUUAUUUUUUCAACAUUCUUAAUUAAAAUAUGAGUUAAAAUUUAAAAAUUAAAUAUAUAAUUUUAAAUUUUAAUUUAAACUUAAAUUAAAAAUUAAAAUUUAAUCAAAUAUUUCGAAUCUAAUUUAUGAAUUUGAAUUUAAAUUAAAUUUUAACUUAUAUAAAGUUUUAUUCAAAUUUUAUUUCAAACUUAAAUUAAAUUUAUGGAUUCAAAUUAAAAUUUAAAUUGUAAUUUUAAGUUUGAAUUUGAAUAAAUUAAAAUUUAGUUUCAUAUUUUGAAUUAUCCACUCAACUUCAAAGUUUAAUUUUUUUAAAAAAAAUAGAUUUAAAAUUUUGACAUUAUUUCAAAAUUUUGAUGUAAAUUUUUAAUAUUUAAUUUUUAAUUUGAAUUUAAAUUAAUAUAUUAUAAAGAUAAUGUUAGUAUAUUAAUUUGAUUACGUUUUUUAUAUCUACCUGAACCAAACACCGACAAUGGGAAUGAUUUAUUCCAAUUCCGAUUCAGGUGAUGAACCCAACAUAAUUAGGUAAUGAGUCAUUCCAAUUCCGAUUCCAGCUUAUUUUGAUUCCGAUUCCGAUUCCGACUCCGACUUCGAACCAAACACGCCUAACCUAUUUUUCUCAUCAAAUAAUUUUGUGAAUUUGCCUAGCAGACACUAAAAAUAGAACAAAAUGUCUAAUCCUUCUCUCAGCUAUCUGAUAGGUCGUCUGGACUGUGAGAAACAAUAUCAUUUUCAGAGAGAAAUACACUACCCCUUACCAGAUGAUUGAACGGGUCAAAUUGGUUAGAAAAUUGAUAACAACUAAUAGCUGAUUUUCAGUCUCUGGGUCCUUUUUCUACUCACCUUCUUAUUUUCUUUUUUCUUUUUGCUUCUCUUUUAUCUCUUUGUUUUGCUUUUCUUUUUCUUAGAAAGUUUUGAUUGCUUUUAUCUUAUAUACUUAAUUUACUUUUCUUAUUGAAUGGAGCGGAUAAAUCACUAUCUCUCAUCAAAAAGAAAAAUAGUGAAUUUGAACAAAAAUUAUCACAUAUUGUAGUUUAUUCGUGGUAGAUGAUGACAAUGAUGUUGAUUUUUAUAAUAACCAAUAGAUUCGAUAAAUGUGACUAAAUAUUCACAAGAGAUAUUGCCUUUUAUCACUUUUCUUUAUUAAUAUUGGUUGUUAUCUCUAUUAUUACUGUCGACAUAACUUCUGUUGAAGUUAACGGACAUCUAGUAAUUAUUAUUAAAUUUCAUAAAAGAUAAUGUGUGUAAUCCUCUUAUGCACCGGAUAAUUUAGCCAUUCAUUUAAUGUUGAGAUCGACUGAUCAAAUAAUCAGUGUCAUCAAAUAAAUAGCGCGAUAGCUCCGUGUGCAGAAAAAUUAUUAUUAUUUCUAACGAAAAAAAGAAAAUGAUGAAGAUAAAAUCAACAGAAGAAGCACGUGCGACACAUUUUUACUAUUUUUUGACCACUUGUGAGUGGUGUACCUGUAUAUUUUGAAAAUUGAAUACACAAAAUUAAAUAAAUGAAAGGAAAAGGAAAAGAAAAAGGAAAAGGAAAAGAAAAGAAAAGGCGAGUAUGCGACGGCCAGUGGCUGUUUUUGUCGUUUUGCAGUGCUCAGCUUUUUUUUUUUUUUUUUUUUUUCUUUGGCCUUUCCUUUUCCGAAUGUUCGAAAGCCACAAAAAAAGACGGGGGGCGGUGCAGCGAAUCUCAAGUAAUCCGAACCGCUCAGCGAGGAGAUUUCUGAUGACGAAUGCCGUGUCCAGCGGAGUGUAACUUUGGCAAGUUGUCGACCUCGAGUUUCUUAAGCUCGUCAAGAAUUAUUCCUGGACAUGAUUAUGGACCCGGAGUUUGAACAUUCCCAACUUUUUUUUUUUUUUUUUUUUUGGGAUAAUUACUUGUAUAUCUAUCGUACGUUUGAAAAUAUCCGAUUUAUUUUUAUUUUUUUUAAAAAAAACUACUCUUCAUAUGUUCCACUGUUAUUGCAAAAUAUCCUCACAGUUAUCUUAUGUUAAGUUAACUUGAGUUAAACGUGAGUUAAAUAUCUACCAUAAUUAAAAAAAAUAAAAUGUCAAUUCUAUCCUUAACUUAAGAGCAAAUAAAAAAUAUUGGUGACGAUAGAGGAAUAGAUUAGAAAAGGCCAAAAGUCAAAAUAAGGACAAAUAAAAAAGUCAGUGAUGAUGGAAGAAUAUAUUUGAAAGGCUAAAAUAGUAAUUUUAUAGAGAUAAUAGAGUUAAUUAACAGAUUUUAACUCUAGGAGUAUAUUAGAAAUAUGUUGGAACGUAGAAAGAGUAUUUUCAAUAUUAAUCUUCUAAAAUGUGUAAAUCGAAAAGUAGGAAAUUUUUCAGAAAUAUUUAAACAAUUGUCCUUUUUUUCCUUUUUUUUUUUAAAACCCCACAUUAUAGGGAGACUUGAAAGGUACCAUACAAAUAAAUAAAUAUAUGAAUAAGACCCAAAACACUCGACCUUAGAUUGUUUGUCGACUUUGUUUAUCCGAAAUCGAAAAAAAAAAAGAAGCUUUUUUUAUGUAUUCGAGAAUAUUAUUUUUAUAAAAAAUUGCUAUAAAUAUUGCAUUUCUGAAUAUUUAUUACAAGAUACGAAAUUUUUUGAUUCGUUCGUUUGCGUCUUUUGAUAUAUUAUAUGAAUUUAUUAAUAUAUUAAUGUCUUAUAAUUCAAUCCUUAUUUGGUUCAAAAUAUUUUCCAAACUAAAAAAAUUUAUUUGUCGAAAAAAAAAAUUUUCAUAAUCAUUUUUAUUGUACAUAUAACAAAUUAUAAUUUUUUUUAACAUAAUUAGCUUUAACAGUGAUAGACUUCUAAAGAUUUUGAAUUUCCAUGCACAAACAAUUUGGAGAUUUAGCUCAUAUCUAACCAUUUGUGUUUAAAUUUAAAUUCCUUUUUUUUUUUUAGACAUUUUUAGGAUUGAGUGUUUCGAAGAGCCGGGUCUAUAAACUGUCGAAGAUAGUCCAUGCAUUAAUAUUAUUUUCUUUAUUUUUUUAUUAUUUCGACGGUUGAGAUCUUCAUCAAGAUGUGAUCAAACCAUGUUUUGGCUCGUGAUCCGUUGCGUGUACGAUACUUUACUCACGUGCGGUGUGUCUCCGUAUAGCAGUAAUUAGUUUUUUUUUUUUUUUUUAAGUGUAAAAAACAGGGUUGUAUUAGGAUUUGGGAACAGGGGUGGAGAGUGUUAUGGAUUCACGUAUCCCAGCACUGUCUAAAGCAAUCAAAUUACGAGGAUUAAUUAAUUAUUAAUUUAAGAUUAGAUAAUAUUUUAUGCUAAAAUUUUAACUCAGUACUCAGUACCAUGAUUGUUGUAGCACAUACUCCUUCCACGAAUUACGAAAAAUUCGCCUCAGAACCACUCGAUGUAAUUAUUAAUAAUUUACCUUUAAUUCGAUUAUUAUCAAAUGGAUUAUCAUGCACAUUUCAAAACUCAAAAACUUUGGGGAAAGAAAUUAAUUUUUUUUAAAAAGGGUUUAAUUGAUUUAUAAAAAAAAAUAAAUGAUUCGAAAUACCUUCAAUGCUUUAUGCUAGAAAAUAGUUAGUUGUGCAUUGCAUGUUUCUUUUAUCAAAAGCACAAUUUUUUUUUUUUUUUUUAUCAAAAGCACAAAUUAAACUAACCAUCUUAACCUUCAAUUUCACAAGGACUAGUGGAACUUAAUGAAUACUGAAAAAAUAUGCUAAAUAUCAAUGUGAGGAAUUAUUAUUAUAACGACUUAAUCUAUUAGCACUAAUCAUUUAUUAGACUCAAACUACUAAUUUAAAAUGAUUAUGCAUGAUUAUUGUUAUUGGAGCCUGUUAUACACCAGUUGAUGUGACAUCUAUUUUAUAUCUUUUGUUGGUAAAUCAGUUUUGAUAUCAAAUUUUACUUUCUGGCAAACUAAUUUUACUAUUAAGUAUAACAAUUCAGUCCACUAAGUAUUAAUAAUUUAUUAGGUUCAAAUCACCAACUCAAAAUACUUAAAUUCAGUUAUUAUUAUUAGAAAUUCUUGAUGCUUAUAUUUUUCAUAUAGAACUUCUUUUCUAUCCGACGUGGAAUUGCUAGGGCCUUAUAAUUUCAAAUUGCUUUUGCUAUAUUAUAAAUGUAGAGAAUAAUGAGAAGUUUAUUUUAGUAGAUACUGUUCCCUCAAAACCAAUCUAUGCAUCUCAGUAUGCAGAUCUAGCAUGUAAUUUGUUAAGUACACAAUAGAUCCAUUUGUCUGGAUUAAUAUAAUCUCCUUUUAUAUGUUUAAUGCUUAAGAAGAUAAACCAAUUAUUCUACCAACCUCCUCAUUUUGCUUUAGCUGCUUCAAGAAUAGUAUUAUUUGAAUGGCAGUUUUUUUUAUUUUAUUUUUGUCUCCUUUUUAUUUUAUUUUUUUUUCAAUAUACAGCCUAAAAUCAAGGGCUAAUGUGGACCAACCACACCUCUAAUUGAUACAAACACUAUAACUCAGUUUAAGCUUAAUUAAUAAAAUUUGUGCCACUGUGCAAGCAAACAAAUUAAGUGUCCCUAAGAAUUUUAAAAACUGGUUUAUUCCCCACUAAUGGAGGAAAUAAAUCUCUAACCACCGUCUUGUUAGGUAGUAGAGAGUUGUUAGAGGAAAACAUGGUCGGCUGAUUAAGUAAAUCGUGCUGAAGACUUGUUUGGCGCAAACUACAGAUGCACCAUAAACUAUAACUUUUCCGAAUAUUCUAGCGGUUUUGCUAAACCCGUCAAAAUCCAUCGAAAGUUUAAAUUUUUAUAGACACUCUUUCAUGGCAUCAAUGCUCAAAAUAACCCUUUUUGAAAGAUACUUAUGAAAAUUA
rnacentral:lncRNA from 1 species